ACUUGAAUAGCUUAUGUAGAGCGUAACAUUGAAGAUGUUAAGGAGAUUUGUUAAUUUUUGAGUA
rnacentral:tRNA from 1 species